AAAAACAUAAUUGCCAGUGCUGUGCACUGGGACAUAAUAGAAAGAGUGGCUGGUAAAUGCCUUGAGUCAGCUUAUCCCAGCCUGGAGAUCUCCUGAGGUUCUGAACUUCAAUUCCCCAAAUUGCAAGUCAGAGAUGCUUGACACCACUGGAAGGCUGCUUGAACCAACUGCUUUGCACAGAAGAGGAAAAACAACAACAGGCCCCACUAUCUCCAUUUGUUGCUGUUUCUACCAGUUAAGUUGCCUUAUAAAGAAGAACAAGAAAACCAUCUCCUCAGGAGUAUAAACAUCAAGCCAAACGCUCACUUGGUCCAGAAUUCUUUACCACACAUAGUAUUUGGGAAGCUCAUAAAGAGGAACAAGAGGACAAUAGAUCCCCUCAGCAGCUGAAUGAAAGUGAGAACUAGCUGCACCUUUGGAGGAAACUAAGCUGUGACUUUGAAGGAGAAAUUGGCUGUCAAAAGGCAUAAAUUGGCUGUUCUUCCUUAAGUUAUUAAACAGGUUCUUCCUCCCAUGUAA